rnacentral:rRNA from 1 species
CCGCCGGCGACCGGCGCACGGGUGAGUAACACGUAUGCAACCUGGCCGUGACAGAUGGAUAACCGGGAGAAAUCCCGCCUAAUACAACAUAAUGCCGGGAGGGGACAUCCCCUGCCGGCCAAAGGGGGCGACCCCGGUCACGGAUGGGCAUGCGGCGCAUUAGGUAGUUGGUGGGGCAACGGCCCACCAAGCCGACGAUGCGUAGGGGUUCUGAGAGGAAGGUCCCCCACACUGGUACUGAGACACGGACCAGACUCCUACGGAAGGCAGCAG